AAAUGAUAAAUUAUUUAAUUUAUUGGGUUGUUCGUAAUAUAUAUUUUAGUUAAACAUACAUACACACACACACAAAACUUAUAAGCAAAAGAUCGAAACAAAUAGACCUAUGCAUUAAACAAUAGCGUAAUACUAAACAUAAAUCAAAUGUUAAUAUUUAAGUCUUUUACACAAUAAUUCCUAAUUCAUAUAUAUAUAACUAUAAAUGCAAAAUAAAUUGGCAAGAGAAUCGCAUCGAUUUUAAGUUAUAUUUCGUUCAUCUUAUUGAAACUAAGUAAGAAAUAAGUAAUGCAAGCAACAACUGGCAAAAGAAGAAUAUUAAUUCCACUCAAUAAUAAAGCUAAAUCUAUCGAAGAAUUAAAA